rnacentral:rRNA from 1 species
UCCUGACUGACCGAUAGUGAACCAGUACCGUGAGGGAAAGGCGAAAAGAACCCCGGCGAGGGGAGUGAAAAAGAACCUGAAACCGUGUACGUACAAGCAGUGGGAGCACGCUUAGGCGUGUGACUGCGUACCUUUUGUAUAAUGGGUCAGCGACUUAUAUUCUGUAGCAAGGUUAACCGAAUAGGGGAGCCGAAGGGAAACCGAGUCUUAACUGGGCGUUAAGUUGCAGGGUAUAGACCCGAAACCCGGUGAUCUAGCCAUGGGCAGGUUGAAGGUUGGGUAACACUAACUGGAGGACCGAACCGACUAAUGUUGAAAAAUUAGCGGAUGACUUGUGGCUGGGGGUGAAAGGCCAAUCAAACCGGGAGAUAGCUGGUUCUCCCCGAAAGCUAUUUAGGUAGCGCCUCGUGAAUUCAUCUCCGGGGGUAGAGCACUGUUUCGGCAAGGGGGUCAUCCCGACUUACCAACCCGAUGCAAACUGCGAAUACCGGAGAAUGUUAUCACGGGAGACACACGGCGGGUGCUAACGUCCGUCGUGAAGAGGGAAACAACCCAGACCGCCAGCUAAGGUCCCAAAGUCAUGGUUAAGUGGGAAACGAUGUGGGAAGGCCCAGACAGCCAGGAUGUUGGCUUAGAAGCAGCCAUCAUUUAAAGAAAGCGUAAUAGCUCACUGGUCGAGUCGGCCUGCGCGGAAGAUGUAACGGGGCUAAACCAUGC